ensembl:lncRNA
AGCUCCUCCUCCUACUCCCACCAUGUAAUUUCCAUAACACUACAAAAGCCUGUGCAAUCCCAGGACUAGCUGUCCUCAGACUGGGAGGAUUCUGCCAUCUGUAGAAAUCUCCUUGCCACAGGUUAUCUUCUUUACAGCAGGUGAAAAUGAGGCAGGUGGAGAAUUCCCUCAACCUUUUAGAGACUGGCUCACAGCCUCAAGAAGCACAGAGAUGUUCCAAGAAGCCACUGUUCAUCUUGAUGGCUUUUAUGCUGCUAUUAAUAUCUGUUGGUGGUAUCCUAAUGUGUCAUUUUUCCCAUUCCAAGGCUCCAGAGAGUUGUUGGGCUCAAGCAAAUUUAGACUACAAGAGUCAAACAUAUGGGAAAGUGGGCUGGGUGUGGACAACAAAAUUCCAUUCUUGCAUGGAGGAAACUGAGCAUCAGACACUGAGGAUCAGAGAAAAUGGCAUCUAUUUAUUUUACGUCCACAUCACAAGAAAAAGUUUGGACAACCAAGAGGAGAGCUCUCACUUUGCAGUGCAACUAAAGAAAGGAGACGUUGUUUUAAAUCAGAGUGAAUCCAAUGGGACUGUUCUCUACCUCAUGGGAAUCCAUGACUUGAAUAAGGGGGAUGAGAUAACUUUAACGUUGAAUGAUGGUGACAUGAAGUCUAUUGAAAAAGAACCUUUUGAGACUUAUUGGGGGGUUUUGCGUAUGAUGACUUUCACCUCAUAGGAUGCUGAUUCUCACUUACUCCACAGUCCAGAAACUCAGUGGAUUUCAGUGCUAAUGGUUUGCCUGUGUGUGUAAAUCAACACAAACAGGUCUUAUGCAGGGUAAUGAUAUUCUUCCCCUUUCUCCUUUUGAAAUACUGGUGUUGUGGCCCCAGAAGACACAGAUCUGAGAGGGAACUUCCUUGCAAGCAGAAAAAAGAAUAGAUACUCUGUUGUAAUAUAGAUGGCUGGAUAAAGGGGACUCCUUGAGGAGUCUCAAUAUGAGUUUUAGUUUUUUAAGAUUUCCUCAAGUUUGACAUAAGAAGUCCAUAUCCUAAUUGGCUUGACUUUCUGAAGAUCUAAGGAGGCAGCCUGAGCUUCCUGACCCUAUUCCGAUGCUUUUAGUAUCACCCCCUCCCUGCUUAAUUCCAUUUUGUGACCCCAAUCUGCUCUCAUAAACAGUGGCAAUGCUAGUCUGGAAGGCUGCCCAGACAAGCUGCCAAAGCACAUGUUACCUAAGCAGUGGCCCAGAAGACUAGAAUUUGCUGUUCACAUGUUGACCAUGGUGGAAGCCUUUGGGACAGAAAUGCAAAUGCCCCUGACAGACUGACCCAGCUGCACUUUAUAUAUAUAUAUAUAUAUAUAUAUAUAUAUAUAUAUAUAUAUAUAUAUAUAUAUAUAUAUAGGAAGUUAAUGACUUUUGGCUUCCUCAUACUACUCAGGGCACAUAGCUUUAAAGGAAAUCAUGGGGUGGAGGGACAGUUCCUGAAUGUCACCUUGGGUUCUCUCAUCAUACUACAGCUGGAAGAAAUGUGAAUGGCCAAAGUGAUGGGAACUGUCUCUGUCCUUUCCCCCGCUGUCCCUCUCUAGGCUUCUCAGAGUCUUUGACUGAGCACAUGAGAAGUAUCUUCAUCUCCUUAUGGGGAACAACUAGGCCAUUUAAGAGAUACUCCCCUUUUCUUUGAUGAAGUUACAAUUCUCUGUCUUUUUCCUGUGAGCAUCCCCUGUACCUUUAGUCCCAACAAGUUGCCUUGUUUAUCACUUGUGCCUAAGGAUAGGGAAUUCCCUCCCCUAGUUCAAGGCAAGGACUUUGGUGACAUUCUAGGAAGCUUUGCCCUUGUUCCUUUCACUCUGCUCUGACAGAACCAGAGACAAAUAUGAAGCUUUUGUCAUUGCCGAGUCUACAGUGAUUAAAAAGCUAUGUUCUAAAACAAUUUGUACACGCACACUACACAUGUAUAUACACAUAUAUUUUUUUAUAUAUUUAUAUUACUCAGACAGUUAAGGAGAUGGAUUGCACUAGACAGUUGUCCCAAGUACAAAUGCGGAGGAUCUUUUCCUUUCACCCAUACAAUGGAGAGAGCUUGGGUCCAAAGCUUGGGCACUGUGUGAUUAUUUCCUAUAUCUGAAAAAUUCCUCAGGAAAUUUUGAUUGUUCAAUUUGUAUAUUUAUGAAAUUGUUGUGAUGUUUACUAUUUUUGUGUUUGUUAAACUCUGCUUUCCAUAUAUAAAUUAAUCCCUCUCUGACACUCCCUGCCCCCUCCAGGAUGGGUGCAUUGGCCUCUUGAGGCCUCUAUCCUGGGUCAGUCAGUGAGUAGGGAGGUGGCUACUGGUAGUUGAAAUACACAUCUUCUUCUCCCACUAAACCUAUUGAUAAAUAUGGAAGGUGACUAAGGCUUUCUGGUCCAUUCAUUCUGCUUUUUGACAUGUGCUGUGAUCCAUUCUUUUCAAGAUCAACCGAAUGCUCUGUAAAUCUCUAAUAAAGCACAUAUUGGCCAUUCA